UAAGUUGGUAGUGAAAUGACGUGGCUCAACCAUACUCACAUUAUCUAAACUGCUAAGCUAGAGUAUAUGAGAGGUAGUUGGAAUUCCUUGUGUAGGAGUGGAAUCCGUAGAUAUAAGGAGGAACACCGAUGGCGUAGGCAGACUACUGGCAUAUUACUGACACUAAGGCACGAAAGCGUGGGGAGCGAACAGGAUUAGAUACCCUGGUAGUCCACGCCGUAAACUAUGGAUGCUA
rnacentral:rRNA from 1 species